GCUCCGCUGAGCCAAAGGGCCGCCCACAGGACAAUGGUCCCGUUGGCGCGUCCAGACAAAUGGGCCUUGUUGGGCUGACGGCGGGGGCGAGUUUGUGUGCCCCUGCUCGCUGAAUGCGGCUUCUGUGCCUCUGGGCGGGCGUGCAGGAGCCAGGACUAGGCGGGAGGGGACCAGGGCCUGGAGCGCCCAUUGGCCGAAGCGCAGGGGGUUGGGCUGGGCUGCUGACCGCACCUGGCCGGGAGCGAGAGCCUGCAAGGAGGCCGCUGUGGCGGCGGCAGAGGGGCAGGAACAUGGACCAAGCCUGGAGGACCGCGGAGGCCCGGCGGGUGCACCCCGCCGCCCAGUGAGUGAGCGAGCGCCCGGGCGGCACGCCCACCCCGAGCCAGCCACGCUGAGCCCGCGGAGAACCAGGCCAAGGACCCCAGAGGACAUAGCACCCUGCUCCCCGGC
rnacentral:lncRNA from 1 species